AACGAACGCCGGCGGCGUGGAUAAGACAUGCAAGUCGAACGGGACAGACCGAGUCGCAAUAUUUGGAAUGUUCAGUGGCGAACGGGUGUGUAACAUGUGGAUAACAUUCCGGAAAGCGGGGAAUAGCCCAGGAAAACUUGGAUUAAUACCGCAUGCGGCCGGAAGGCUAAAGAAGGGGCCCGAAAGGCCUGCAACUUGCCGAUUGGUCCGUGGCCUGUCAGCUAGUUGGCGGGGUAAUGGCCCACCAAGGCUACAACGGGUAGCUGGUCUUAGAGGACGAACAGCCACACUGGAACUGAGACACGAUCCAGACACCUACGGGUGGCAGCAGUCGAGAAUCUUUCACAAUGGGGGCAACCCUGAUGGAGCGGCGCCGCGUGGAGGAUAAGGUCUUCGGAUUGUAAACUCCUGUCAUGCGAGAACAAGGUACUCAGGCUAAUAACCUGAUUGUUUGAUGGUACCGCAAGAGGAAGAGACGGCUAACUCUGUGCCAGCCGCCGCCGUAAUAC
rnacentral:rRNA from 1 species